rnacentral:rRNA from 1 species
UACAGAGGUCUCAAGCGUUGUUCGGAUUCAUUGGGCGUAAAGGGCGCGUAGGCGGCUUGCCAAGUCAGGGGUGAAAUCCUGCAGCUUAACUGUAGAAGGGCCUUUGAUACUGGCGAGCUCGAGGGAGGUAGGGGUAUGUGGAACUUCCGGUGGAGCGGUGAAAUGCGUUGAUAUCGGAAGGAACGCCGGUGGCGAAAGCGACGUACUGGACCUCUUCUGACGCUGAGGCGCGAAAGCUAGGGGAGCAAACGGG